CUUAUAUGACAGGCAUGCUACUGUGUUUCCCUGGCUUUUAUCAAAUGCUAUUGGCAAACUCAGAACUUCACAUAAGGAACGUAUUUUUCUCUUUCAAUGACAUUGAGUGAAAAUCUGGUCCAUGAUGGGGCUAUGUGUGCAAGCCUGCUCCGCACACCAGCCUACAGGUUCCCAGAUUCCUCUUCACAACCAGGGUGACUUCCUUGACAUCUAUGCUGGGAGUGCCGUGACAGAGAGCAUGGGGACUUGGAUGCAGAUUUCAUACACGAGGAAUGGGGACUGGUGAGGAUGUUGGCUUCCUGUGACUCUCCAACCUAUGUGUGCCUGUGUGGGGUUACAUUUAAGGGGCUCUUUUCUCCACCCUCUUUAGAAGUCCACUGUGAUUGAUUCCAGCCUGUCACCCCCUUUCCCCUCUCUCUUCCUGCCACAGUGUGACCCGAUCGGGCCCUGGAGUCUCAGUGUACCAGUGGCACCAACCUCACUGCAGUGUCUCGCUGAGGGGAGCAUCUCAUAAGUGCUGAUGUGGAAUCUGAUCCCUGCAUCCCGCAGUAAGCCCUGCCUUUGCUGGCAGCUGGAGGACCAAGUAGGAGCUCAGAGCAUCUUCUCACAAAUGUGGGAUCUGAAACCUUCCUUGGGAGCCCCUCCUCAGCUGGGUAGGAGGAGCCAAUCCAUCCCCACAGCCCUGCUCUGGGUGCGGGAAGAUCCAAAAGUCAAUCACUCCAGCUGAAGUUCCAAUGAACUCCUUUCAUUGGCCAGAGGUCUAGGAGAAGGUGGGGGUUCCUCCCAGGUGAAAAGUCCCCUUCUUCCGCACCCCUUUGGACUCCAUGUUUGGGUCCCCUUCCACCCUCGGGGAAGCCGUCUGUAUCCUGGAUUUCCCCUCCAGAGUCCCCUUCCACACUCUUAGUGGAAGUUUUCUCUCUUCCCCUUUUUUUUUCUCUUUCUCCACCUAAAUAAAUUCACUUUCUGCAAAAACUCUGUUUGGGGUCUGGAAUUUACUUUGGGAA
rnacentral:lncRNA from 1 species